UCUCGACUCGCGCGGCAACUGGAGGCGACCGCGCGGCGUGGAGCUGCAUGAUCCGUGCCUUAUCGUCUCCGGUCGCCGCAUGAUCCGUUCCGCCUGCGCGGCGUGGAGCUGGCUCAGCAGCCCGCUGAUCGUCUCGGCUUCCCGGCGGAGCUAGCUGCAGCAUUAUUUCAGAGGUCGCUCCCGGGGGCGGUGGUGACAGAACCAGGCCUGGCCGAGCCCUAGCGGCUGCAAAACUCUACAAACUAGCACGCGUCGGGUCGCCGCCGCCGCCGCCGUCGAUCUUCGCCCACCAAGGGAGCAGGCGAUCCGCUCCCCCCGCGCCGGCUGACCCGCGCGCACGGCCUCUGGCGUCGGAGCUUGACGAGGAGGACGCCUGCUGAGCUGCGUUGAAUCUGGACCGCAUAAGUCGGAUCGGACGGAUCCGUAGGUCCCAGGGGGUGGACGGUAUUUCGCCUCCCGUCGCAUGGAACGCCGCGGCUCGUCCGAGCACCGCCGCGCUCCGGCCGUCCCAUGGCGGUCCUUCCUGGCUUUGCGGCCGCUCCCCCAGUGCCUACUCCUGCUUCAUGCCGUGUCUUGCCGGAGUGGGUCGCCGUGUUCCGGCCGGCCGUACCUUGUGUCCGUCUCCGACCAAGCCUCUUCCUUUGGGUCGUGCGGCUGGUGGCAGCCGGCAAACAAGCUGAACACCGCUGCCGAUCAUGGCGCGCACCCAAGCUCAGUCGAGGGGGUUCUUAAUCUCUACCAAUUCCUCGGCAUCGCGGAGGGCCAGAGUGCUGCUGCUUCUGACAGAAUUGGCGCGGAGCAACAGAAAACAAUUCGAAACACCACUGGGCCAGGGUUGAAUCGGCGAGUGGCGACGACAGCAACGCUCUGGAAUUGAGAAUCGAUUGGAGCAGGCAAGCAGACAAUCAGGUAUGUGAGAGGUGAGCCUUUCACUUUUGGGCUUUGGCCUGCUGAUGGCCGGGGCGUUUGGCCACAUCAAGGCAAGAUGUGCGUCUCCCGUCUUCGUGCUCGAGACGUCUUCGUCAGUUCAUCUCGCAGGGCGGAGCAGCAGCAGCAUCGGGCAGAUGAAGAACGGAGGGGGCGGCGAGGGCAGGGGUCGCCGAGGAAGAAGUCGUGGGGUCAGGGGCGAGUACGCCGGUAGCUGGGGCGGCCGCCCCACCCCGCCUACAGUGGGGCUGAGAGGGGCUAAUUUGAUAAAUAUUAUUCAAAAUAGAGGGUUUUAUAUAAUCGCGAUCCAAAUAAGGGGUUUAUUGUAAAUAUUUGGAUCUCUAUUAUUAAUCGUGAUCUAUUUUAGGGGCCUUUAUGUAAACAUGUAGGUGUAACUCGAAAAACCUUUCCCCCUUCCUCCCGCCGCCGGCGGCCGGCGCUGAUGGCGAACCAGCGAGGCCUCCAGCCUCCCCUUGCUCCAGAUGGAGAAGACCUUUAGCUCCUCGUAUCCUCAAGGUCUUCACAGCUUCCCCGGAUUCGGCGGCAGGCACCAGAGACGGGAGCCUACACUGGACGGACGCCGCCAAGGCCGCCACCGCGUAGUGCCGGAGACGAGCGUCGUCACCGGCGUAUGCAUCAUCCGGCAGCUUGGAUCCCUGACUACUCCGCGCUCUACGAUUGCUCCUGCCUGCGGUAACUGCGAGUCACAGCUGCAGCGUUUGGCGUCAUGGAGUCAACAUACCUGCACUGAAGCUUCAAAUUGUCGGACGGAGUUUGAAAAUUUUUGAGGAAAUGAAGAAGAGGGUCUUCUGAAGAUUCUCAAGGUAAUGGAGUAACACCUACGAAAGGAUCUGCAAAGAUCUUCUCAACAGAAGCUCCAUGGGGCAAUCCCGCAAGAUUGCUGCUUUGCUGAAGCUUGAUCGUGCUAGUUUGUUUCUACAUCCCAGGCUUUGUUUCAGUUAGGUUCACCAGUGGUCUGUUACCAGAAAAAAGUGUUCUAAUGUAAUUGGACCAAUGGUUAUCUAAUUUGUGAUCAGAAA